rnacentral:rRNA from 1 species
UACUGCUCAGUAACCACGUCGAUAAUCUGCCCUAAGGUUGAGGAUACCCACGGAAAACUGUGGCUAAUACUUAAUAUUGAAUGGAUUCUGGAACGAACCAUUCAUUAAACGCAAGGUUCUUAGNAUGAGUCGGCGGCGGAUUAGGCAGUUGGCGGUGUAACGGACCACCAAACCAAAGAUCCGUAGGGGCCCUGAGAGGGGGUAGCCCCGAGAGGGACACUGAAAUACUGGUCCCAGCUCCACGGAGUGCAGCAGGCGCGAAACCUCCACAAUGCGCGAAAGCGUGAUGGGGGGAUUCCGAGUGCUUACAUUUAAUGUAAGCUUUUGCCAAGAGUUCACAUCUUGGAGAAUAAGUGGUGGGUAAGACCGGUGCCAGCAGCCGCGGUAACCCCGGCGCCACGAGUGGCAAUCUUAUAUUGGGCCUAAAGCAUUCGUAGCAGGUUUGAAUAAUCCUUUGUGAAAUUGUUGAACUUAAUACAACAGCAUGCAGGGGACACUUUCAGACUAGAGACUGGGAGGAGUUGGGGGUAUGCCUUGGGGAGCGGUUAAAUGCGAUAAUCCAAGGUAGACCACCUGUGGCGAAGGCGCCCAACUAGAACAGUUCUGACUGUGAGGGAUGAAAGCUAGGGGAGCGAUCCGGAUUAGAUACCCGAGUAGUCCUAGCUGUAAACACUGUGAGCUAGGUGUCGCAUAUUCUACGAGAAUAUGCGGUGUCGAAAAGAAGUUGAUAAGCUCACCGCCUGGGAAGUACGGUCGCAAGA